rnacentral:lncRNA from 1 species
ACUCCGUACCCCGACUAGUUCCUGGUUUGUUCUCACCUCCUGAGAAAAAUGGAACAAAAAGGAAAAGGGUGAGCUCAACUAGCCCAGUAAAGAAUAUUAUGACUAAGAUAAUAUACAACAAAUUAUCGUUAGUCUUCAACAGGGAAAAAUCUGAUAAAAUAUAAUAGCCAACAAGUUUUAGAUCAACAACUACAGCGGAAACAGCAAUCCAUUAG